UACGGGGGGGGCAAGCGUUGUUCGGAAUUACUGGGCGUAAAGGGCUCGUAGGUGGCCAACUAAGUCAGACGUGAAAUCCCUCGGCUUAACCGGGGAACUGCGUCUGAUACUGGAUGGCUUGAGUUCGGGAGAGGGAUGCGGAAUUCCAGGUGUAGCGGUGAAAUGCGUAGAUAUCUGGAGGAACACCGGUGGCGAAGGCGGCAUCCUGGACCGAUACUGACACUGAGGUGCGAAAGCGUGGGGAGCAAACAGG
rnacentral:rRNA from 1 species